CCUGAUGCAGCAACGCCGCGUGAGGGACGACGGCCUUCGGGUUGUAAACCUCUUUUAGCAGGGAAGAAGCGAAAGUGACGGUACCUGCAGAAAAAGCACCGGCUAACUACGUGCCAGCAGCCGCGGUAAUACGUAGGGUGCAAGCGUUAUCCGGAAUUAUUGGGCGUAAAGAGCUCGUAGGCGGUUUGUCGCGUCUGCUGUGAAACCCCGAGGCUCAACCUCGGGCCUGCAGUGGGUACGGGCAGACUAGAGUGCGGUAGGGGAGAUUGGAAUUCCUGGUGUAGCGGUGGAAUGCGCAGAUAUCAGGAGGAACACCGAUGGCGAAGGCAGAUCUCUGGGCCGUAACUGACGCUGAGGAGCGAAAGGGUGGGGAGCAAACAGGCUUAGAUACCCUGGUAGUCCACCCCGUAAACGUUGGGAACUAGUUGUGGGGUCCAUUCCACGGAUUCCGUGACGCAGCUAACGCAUUAAGUUCCCCGCCUGGGGAGUACGGCCGCAAGGCUAAAACUCAAAGGAAUUGACGGGGACCCGCACAAGCGGCGGAGCAUGCGGAUUAAUUCGAUGCAACGCGAAGAACCUUACCAAGGCUUGACAUAUACGAGAACGGGCUAGAAAUAGUCAACUCUUUGGACA
rnacentral:rRNA from 1 species